UACGUAGGUGGCAAGCGUUGUCCGGAUUUACUGGGCGUAAAGAGCGCGCAGGCGGUCGGAUAAGUCGAGUGUGAAAGCCCCUGGCUUAACCAGGGAGGGUCAUUCGAUACUGUUCGACUCGAAGGCAGGAGAGGGAAGUGGAAUUCCGGGUGUAGUGGUGAAAUGCGUAGAUAUCCGGAGGAACACCAGUGGCGAAGGCGACUUUCUGGCCUGUUCUUGACGCUGAGGCGCGAAAGCUAGGGGAGCAAACGGG
rnacentral:rRNA from 1 species